AGUGAACGCUGGCGGUAGGCCUAACACAUGCAAGUCGAACGGCAGCACAGUAAGAGCUUGCUCUUACGGGUGGCGAGUGGCGGACGGGUGAGGAAUACAUCGGAAUCUACUUUUUCGUGGGGGAUAACGUAGGGAAACUUACGCUAAUACCGCAUACGACCUACGGGUGAAAGCAGGGGAUCUUCGGACCUUGCGCGAUUGAAUGAGCCGAUGUCGGAUUAGCUAGUUGGCGGGGUAAAGGCCCACCAAGGCGACGAUCCGUAGCUGGUCUGAGAGGAUGAUCAGCCACACUGGAACUGAGACACGGUCCAGACUCCUACAGGAGGCAGCAGUGGGGAAUAUUGGACAAUGGGCGCAAGCCUGAUCCAGCCAUACCGCGUGGGUGGAGAAGACCUUCGGGUUGUAAAGCCCUUUUGUUGGGAAAGAAAAGCAGCAGGUUAAUACCCCGCUGUUCUGACGGUACCCAAAGAAUAAGCACCGGCUAACUUCGUG
rnacentral:rRNA from 1 species